GUUGAGCACGCACAUGGCUGUUAUACACGGACAACUUCUAGAACAAUUGUUGUUGAGUACGCACAUGUCAAGGAAUACCGUUUUCUCCGCCGAAUAAGUCUAAAACAACGUCGCAUUGGCAUGUUCUGUACUCGUUUUACAUGAGCCGGAUAGAGGACAGACUGUACAUAUAACCUCGAAGCGGGCAUAAAACCCUAUAGCUACAGACACCAACUCAAACACAUUUCAACUCACAAGAGAUCAGGCAAGAUGUGCACCAACAGAUACAGAUGAACACCCACGUUGCAACAGUAACAAGAAAGAGCCUAAGACUAAGUCACUGAGCGAGAUGCAGAUGUUGUACUAUGCCAAACAGAACAGCUUUGCAGACAAACAAGAAAAGUUCUACGAAAGAAUCACAGUACUGACUGAUAUUCUCAUAAAACAAAU